ACGGAAGGCAGCAGUGAGGAAUAUUGGUCAAUGGACGAGAGUCUGAACCAGCCAAGUCGCGUGAAGGAAGAAGGUUCUAUGGAUUGUAAACUUCUUUUGUCUGAGGGUAAAGUGAGGUACGUGUACCUUAUUGCAAGUAUCAGACGAAUAAGCAUCGGCUAACUCCGUGCCAGCAGCCGCGGUAAUACGGAGGAUGCGAGCGUUAUCCGGAUUUAUUGGGUUUAAAGGGUGCGUAGGCGGAAUGUUAAGUCAGUGGUAAAAGCGUGUGGCUCAACCAUACCGAGCCGUUGAAACUGGCGUUCUUGAGUGUAAGCGAGGUAGGCGGAAUGUGACGUGUAGCGGUGAAAUGCUUAGAUAUGUCACAGAACCCCGAUUGCGAAGGCAGCUUACCAGUAUACAACUGACGCUGAGGCACGAAAGCGUGGGUAUCAAACAGGAUUAGAUACCCUGGUA
rnacentral:rRNA from 1 species